rnacentral:rRNA from 1 species
UACGAAGGGGGGCUAGCGUUGCUCGGAAUCACUGGGCGUAAAGCGCACGUAGGCGGCUUCUUAAGUCAGGGGUGAAAUCCUGGAGCUCAACUCCAGAACUGCCUUUGAUACUGAGGAGCUUGAGUCCGGGAGAGGUGAGUGGAACUCCGAGUGUAGAGGUGAAAUUCGUAGAUAUUCGGAAGAACACCAGUUGCGAAGGCGGCUCUCUGGACCAGCACUGACACUGAGGCACGAAAGCGUGGGGAGCAAACAGG